UAGGGAAUAUUAGUAAUGGGCGAAAGCCUGAACUAGCAACGCCGCGUGUGCGAAGAAGGCCUUCGGGUUGUAAAGCACUUUUUGAGAGGAUGAGGAAGGACGGUACUCUCAGAAUAAGUCUCGGCUAACUACGUGCCAGCAGCCGCGGUAACACGUAGGAGGCGAACGUUAUCCGGAUUUACUGGGCGUAAAGCGCGUGUAGGUGGUUUGGUAAGUAGGGCGUGAAAGCUCCUGGCUCAACUGGGGGAGGACGUUCUAAACUGCCGAACUAGAGGAUGGUAGAGGGGGGUGGAAUUGCGGGAGUGGAGGUGGAAUGCGCAGAGAUA
rnacentral:rRNA from 1 species